UCUGUCUGACGUUGCCUGUGCAAAACACUAUUCACUUUGUCUGUGGUUUCUCCAGAUUUAUUUAUACAGUUAAUUAAUACCAACCAUUGUUAUGGCAACAGUCUUUUGAUUUCAAUUCAUCAUUUUUCUUACUUCAACUCUGUGUUUUUUGAAAAGUUGGAUUCAAAGACUUUUUUUUUUUUAACCUUUUGUCCUUUCUACUCUUUAAGGUUCACAGUUCCUCUACAUGACUCUGUAUGCAGAAUUUUACCAUUGGCUGCUUUUUGUUGGUGUAUGGCCAUAGAAUGUUUGGAAGUGUUUGUUCUGUCUUCUGUGAGGUUGUGUUGCUCUUAGAUAACAAAAGAGUACAAGCAGGUUAUUUAAGCCUUUGAUGGACCACUCAUGACAAUCAUCUGGUGUGAUACUGAAAAUAUUUACUGGGGAAAGAAACAGAUUAGUUCUUUUUUAAAUUUUUUUCCUUUUUUUGUUACUUCGUCCACUGAAGUCUUGAACCCCUCAAAGUCAUCCAGAAACAGAUUAGUUCUUAAGUGUAGAGGCAGUAUUUGAGGGAGUUUCCAUUUUCAUCUUUGAGAAUUCAUCUUCAUUAAGAAACUUUUUUUGUUGUUAAUGGGAGAGUUAACAGUUUCUUUCAUCUACUAUUCCAUUUUGAAACAGGAAACCUUUCGAUGGCACAUUGUUUAUUGUGAAAGGAAAAUUUAUGUUGGGGGUGGUGAAGCUGAGAGUAUCAGAAACCUCUGUGGUUUCUGCAUGUUGCUUUCAGACAAACUAUAAUUUCACAAGAAGAAAUCAAGAUGGGUGUCAGUAUCCAGAGAAGUCAAUCUGAAUACCUUACAGAGAUUUACUCAGAAACUAUAGCUGUCAGUAUCCUACUUUACUAAGUAUGAUUAUAAAAUAAAUUUAAGAUGUAACUUGCGGCUUUGCAAAAAUUAAUAAUUCUUUUUUUUUUGAAGCAGUAGCACUGCCCUGUAUUUAUUCGUAAAUGUUUGUAACACAUUAUGUCUUUAUUUCGUAGAUAUCUGGGGCUAAUUAUAAGUUUAGUUGAAGCAAGACUUGGUAUGUUUAUAACUGAAGAAAUGGAGGUUUUAAAAAAAAAUUCCUUUAUAGGGAUGUGCCAAAGCAUCCAUGAAAUCAUAUGGUAACAUUCAUCUUUGCUUUGAUUUGCUCCUGUCUGCAAAUAUUGGCUAUAAAAAGCCACUAUCGGUAGUAGUAGUAGUAGCAAUGUGACAAGAUUUCCUUUAUUUUCAUUUAUUCUGAUGGAAAGGACACAUAGAUGAAUGACUGGCCUGUCAUUCUACAGGCAGUGGUGCUAAAUGCAGAGCCAGAAUAUUUUUGCCAGAUAAAUAGCCUUAGUUUUGGGCUUCAGUGUGACCUAUUUAAGCUUCUGCCAAUUUAUUCAAAUUGUUAUAUUAAAGUGCUCCAGACAGAAUGAUGUCAUAGUGUCAAAAUAUUGCAACUUGCUGCUUGGGGUUGAGUUUUGAUUUUAGCAUUGGAUACUUUAGAAUAAGGACUAUUCAAUUGGAAAAAUAGCACAUAUUUGGCAAGCACAAUGCUGCCUAUCUUUUCUUUGCUAACGAGUGUGCAUUUGAAGGUCACUCUCACUGCCUAAAUCAUUAGUUGGGGUAAGAGAAGGAAUUCAAGGUUUUUCUCUAACUUACCUGCUACAUAAGUGGACAGCAAAUGGUUCAGAUUCUAUAAAGGGGCUGUUCUUUUUCCCCCACCCUCCAUCUUUGAGUGGUCAGUGUUUGUACAUUUGUGAGUAUUAGGACAUCAAAUCAAAAAGAUUUAUAUAAGGAAGUAGUGAGCUGUAGUUACUAUAAAAUCAUUUUUGAAACAUUAAAAAUGAUGUACACAACUUUGGUUUAUAACUGGUUGUUAACAUAAGUUUUAUUCACUUUUAAUUAUUUCACCAUGAGUUAUGGUACAAUAGAUGGCUAUUUGAUAGUUAAACAUCUGCUAUUAUUUAUUUUAUUAACCCUUUUGUGGGUUUAGGUUUAGUCUCUCCAAUUGAGAAACUUGACUCAACAAGGAAAUCUAUUAUCAAAAGUCUCUACUUAGUGGGAUGUGGGUGCGGGUGUUGGCAAAUGUACAUUGCCUGUUUAUCUUCAUUAUUUGUCAAAGAUGAAAAUGGUUGUGUUCAUUUGUGAAUGUACCCAGGGGCUUUGUGGAGAGAAAUCACAUAAAUUAUUAUGAAAGAAUUCAAUAUGUUUAUUUUUACUCUAAGAUACAGUAAAUAGAAAGGCAUUGAUAAUUACUAAUUGGCAGUAUAUUUUAUUUAAGUGUGUAGUGCAGAAACAUCUUCCUCUUUUGUUUAUCUUUUCUUAUUUGUUAGUGGUGAAGGAAGUGGCUCAUAAUAUCAACAUUAUCCUGAUGAUUACAUCAGGGGCUUUAUUAUUAGUUCUGAAGUUAAUCCCUUGACGCAUUACCUUUUUAAAAAAAAUAACUGCGAUAGCAUGAAUUUAGUUUGUGGAUAACAGAAAAUAGCAACUUUCACGUCUAAUUGGUAGGUAUGUAAAAGGAGGAGUUAAGUGUAUAGUUACUAUUUUUUUCUUGUGAUGCCUCUUUGCAAGGGUAGCUCUUGGAAGUAAAAAUAUGAACACAAACUUCAAUUUCAGUUUGUUCCAGCCACCAAUAAAGGAAGAUAACUGUUUUUACAGGGAAUAAUGAAGCAGUCUUGGGUUGUAGGGUAAUUAUCUAAUAGGUAUGUAGUUUUACCAUUUCUUGGCCUCUGGAAUUUAAAAUGGUCAAUUGAAAUUCUUUCCAAUUAAUGUUCUGUUUUCAGAGGGCAGGCUUUUUCUCUAAGGUCACUGAGAAUAGGAGAACGUAAUUGCUCAGUUGUCUCCUUAUAAGAUGUAGAGUGUUUUCUAACAGAAAAUCAGUAGCACAGAGUUAGCACAGUCCAUGUUUUGAGGAAAAGAAUAGUAGAUAGUAGCACAUCCCAAAACGUCCCAUUUAAACAGAUUUUCUGGCCUUAGCUCUGUGUGUCAGUGUCAUUUGCUAGCCGACCCGAAAGCCCUCACAUCAGUGGAUGCUUAUUUGAUACAGUGAUGGAAGUAGUAAUCAUGAAUACAUAUCUAGGGUCAGGUGUGCCCGGAAUGAAAUAUGGAGUCUGUUCUGAAGCUACUCAAGAGACAAGGUUUCUUAAACACUUAAUAAACAUUUUUUGAGGGCUUCCUGUGUUUCCACUGAGUGCUUGUUACUGGGUAUAUGAAGCUAGACAAGACAUAAUCCCGCCUUUGACCUGUCAAGGAACUCAGAGAACACAUAAAUGGAUAAUUGCCAUGUAGUAUGGGAAGGGCUGUAUUACAAACCCAAAGUACAGUGGGAACAGAAUAGAGAACAUCCUCCUUGUUUUUCUGGCCAGUGUUCAGACAGUUUUCUUUCUGGAUUCUGCUGGCCAUUGCCUUUUAGGAACAGCAUUAGUGUGUUCUUGUUGGAAAUGCUGAGGUGAGAGUAAGGAAGUGAUUGCUAAUCAGUAUGGUUGGAAUGAUAAUUUAUUAAUGUGAGGUUCCUGGGCAUGGUUUUCACGAGAAUCUUAGCCAGGUGAUGGAAAAUAGAAGAAACAAUUUUCCAUCUAAUAGAUACUAAAUAUACUGAGCAUAUGUGGGUGCUCCGGAAAUUAGAAAAUAAUUAAUUGAUGCUAAAUAGCAAAGCACGCUGAGUACCUGCCUCAAAUUUUUGUCUUGCUGUCCUUGUCAAUUUUUUUUAAAUUGCAUUACCGAAAGAAUUUAAAAAGCACUUAGGAAGUGAUGAUGCCCAUUAGGUUUUUUCUGCCUUUUGCCUUCAGUCUAGUUAGUACAUUUUUCAAGCUUGAAAUAUAAUUCAUACUCUUUUUAAUUUCAUUGUGAUAAUAAUAUAUUUUAAAGUUUGUCAAUCUAGGAUGCUUGGAUGAUAUACAGAUAUUUUAAAGAACACAAGUAAACUUUCUUUUCUAAGCUGAGUUCCUCAUACCUCUGAAAGAUAUUCCAUGUGGAGUAAAAGAGGUUUUAGAUGCCUGUUGUUUGUGUUUACUGAUUUGGAGACUCUUACCUUCCUAGAGCCGUAAAACAGGGGAUAUCAUUCAUUUGAAUUAUACUUCUUGACCUAUUUCCUUUUCCUCACUAAAGUUGUUCCACCUUAACAGAAUCAAUGGAUCCUAGUAGACUUGGUUAGGGGAUAAUAACAAAUCGUCUGGACAGUUUUGUUUAGUACUCAAUUCAGUUUUGAAUUUGUAUUGUAGUAAGUGAAGUGAUCGCAAAGUCUGGUACAUGACUUCUAAGAAAAGCUUGAUAAAGUAAAAGAUUUAAAGGAAUCCUACCAAGACUUACCUUGAUUUGUCCCUGCGAUAUAAAGCAGUCACAUAAUACAGGCCUUAAUCAGUUAGUAAUCUUUUAACUAUUAAAAAAUGUUUAGCUUUCAGAUUUUGAAUCUAUUUCUUUCUUCUUUUUAAAAGGUGCUUUUUGUGCUGUCUAUUGAUUUCAUCAUUCAUUUAUCAGAUCUCAACUAUGGAAAGAUAGGCCUUUCCAAACAGCUAUGCCAUAGAGUAAAAUGUAAUAAGUGCUUUAAGGUGGUAUAAAUAAAGUGCUGCGAUGUAGUACGUGGCGGAGGUGAACCAUUGCUUGCUAAGGGUGAAAAGUUGGUGUAAAAUGAAGCAUGGAAGAGUACUGUCUCGUUCAUGGGCGGGAUUCCAGUGAGAUGGAGGACAUGUUAGGUUGAAGGAAUGAUAGAUUGUUGAGUAAGAGAGGGGAAGUUAGGGGAAGAUGAUAGAGGUUUGGCUUUUGUCAAAGAAUUUUGUGUUAAUUUAUUUGGUAGAAAACCAUUGGAGGCUCUUAAUCAGGGAGGGAAAACAUCAGAGCUGUGCUUUGAUAGAGUACUUACUUGACUCUGCAAAGCUUGGAUUAAGAGAAAAAAACUGAAAGCAAGAGUAAUGAUCGAGGAAUUAAAACAGUCUGGGCAAGAAAUAAUGAAAUGCUGGCCUAGAUAAUUGGAAGUAGGUAUAGCAAGUGUUGGUUCAGAUGUGGGAGGCAUUUUGGAGGUAAAAUCUACAGGUGUUGGUGACCCCUUAGAGUUAGAGGACGAAAGAGAAGAUGUAGUGAAAGUGACUCUUGAGGUUUUCAGCCUAGUUGACUUUGAAGGCAGUGAUGCACUUAAUGAGGUAAGGAACGUAAGAAGGAAAAGAGGAAGUGUGGGGGUUAGUUUUUGGCCGUGCUAAGUUCACCAUGCCAGAGUGAAUUUCAUUUACAGUCAGAAAAUUAAGUGUACAGUUCAAAA